rnacentral:rRNA from 1 species
UACGUAGGGGGCGAGCGUUGUCCGGAGUUACUGGGCGUAAAGGGUGCGUAGGCGGCCCAUUAAGUCAGGUGUGAAAAACCCUGGCUCAACCGGGGUAUUGCACUUGAAACUGAUGCUCUUGAGUGUCGGAGAGGAAAGCGGAAUUCCCAGUGUAGCGGUGAAAUGCGUAGAGAUUGGGAGGAACACCAGUGGCGAAGGCGGCUUUCUGGCUCACAACUGACGCUCAGGCGCGAAAGCUGGGGGAGCAAACAGG